rnacentral:rRNA from 1 species
AUGGGUGGCCAUGCUCUGCUCAUCUUGCUGUCGGUGGCGUCCCUGGCAUUGCUGCCGGGAGCCACGCCGCUGCAGCCCUCACAGGCCUGGUCCCUCUUCAAGCUCCGGCAGCUCCUGGGCGACCCGCCGGUGCUCGGCACCUGGCACAACUACACCGACUUCUGCUACGGCGGCGACUACAAGACCGCCUCCGCCUUCGUCGAGUGCUACGAGGACAGCGUCACGCAGCUCCACAUCAUGGGCGACCCCGGGGCCGGGGCGCGCCCGCUCCCCGCCACCUUCUCCAUCGACGCCUUCUUCACCACGCUGUCCAGGCUGCCGGAUCUCAAGGUGCUCACGCUCACCAACCUCGGCCUCUGGGGGCCACUGCCGGGGAAGAUCUCCCGCCUCCAGAAGCUGGAGAUCGUCAACGUCAGCUCCAACUACCUCUACGGCGAGCUCCCGCGGGGGCUCUCCCAGCUCGGCAGCCUCCAGACGCUGGUCGCGGACCACAACAUGCUGGGAGGCAAGCUGCCGGGGUGGCUCAAGGACAUGCCGCUGCUGGCGGUCCUCAGCCUCCGGAACAACAUGCUGCAGGGGACGCUGCCGGAGUCGCUCAAGGACAUGCUGUCGCUGAGGUCGCUGGUGCUGGCGUCCAACAACCUCUCCGGGAAUCUGCCGGACCUCAAGAACCUCCAGGUGAUUGACAUGGCCAACAACGCGCUAGGGCCCAAGUUCCCGCGGCUGGGGCGGAAGGUGGCCAGCGUGGUGCUCGCCGGCAACAAGUUCAGCGACGGCCUCCCCGCCGACAUGCUCGCCUCGUGCUACCUCCUGGAGCGGCUGGACGUGUCGGGGAACAGGUUCGUGGGGCCUUUCCCGGCGGCGCUGCUGUCGCUGCCGUCCAUGGAGUACCUGAGCAUCGCCGGGAACAGGUUCACCGGGCGGCUCUCGGGCAACGCCUCCUGCGGCGAGAACCUCCGGUUCGUGGACCUCUCGUCGAACCUCCUGACGGGGAGCCUCCCCGGCUGCCUGCUGGCCGCCCCCGGCAAGAGCGUGCUCUUCUCGGCCAACUGCCUUUCCACAGCCGGCGACGACUCCCAGUCCCAGCACCCGUCGCCCUUCUGCCGGAACCAGGCAUUGGCCGUCGGGAUCGUGCCUGAGCAGGGACACAAGAAGAGUGGCGCCAAGGCCGGUGUGGUGGCCGGCAUUGUCCUUGUGGGAGCAUUGGUCGUGAGCGCGGCGGUGGUGUUUGUGGUGAGGAAGGCGAGCGCGCCCAAGGCGAGGCCUGCACGGAGACUGGUGGAGAACGCGUCGAGCGCUUACCCUUCGAAUUUGCUGGCCGACGCGCGUUACAUAUCUCAGACGGUGAAGCUGGGGGCUCUUGGCAUUCCGGCAUACAGAUCAUUCUCCUUGGUGGAGCUGGAGGCGGCCACCGAUAACUUCCAGGUGUCUAGCCUCAUGGGGCAAGAUGCUCAUGGCCAGAUGUACCGUGGACGGCUAAGCAAUGGGACCCCGGUGACAAUCAGGUCCCUCAAGGUGAACAAGAGCCAGAGCUUCACCCGCCACAUCGAGAUGAUAUCCAAGCUGAGGCAUCGGCACCUGGUGAGCGCGCUGGGGCACUGCUUCCAGUACAACCUCGACGAUUCCACCGUCACGCACCUCUACCUCGUCUUCGAAUACGUGCACAAUGGCAACCUCAGGGGCAGGAUUUCACAAGGAACGGAAGGCCGGAGGCUGUCGUGGGGCCAAAGAAUAUCGACCGCCAUUGGUGUGGCCAAGGGCAUUCAGUUCCUGCAUGGAGGGAUCAUACCAGGCCUGUUUGCGAAUAACCUCAAGAUCACCAACAUUCUUAUGGACCAGAAUCAGGUCCCCAAAAUCGGCAGCUACAACAUCCCCAUUCUGUCAGAGACCAUGAAAUCAGAGAUGCAGGGAGGAGCUGGAAGCAAGUAUCCACCGGAUAGAAUUUGCAGGGUUCCGAAUGGCGAUAAGAUUGACAUGUACGAUUUUGGUGUGAUACUGCUGGAGGUUAUCUCCGGCAGGCCCAUCAGUUCCAUAUACGAGGUGGAGAUGAUGAAAGAACAGUUGCAAUCGGCGCUGACAGCACAAGGACCGAGCAAGAGGAGCAACUUGGUGGACCCGGCGGUCAGCAAGGGCUGCUCCGACGACUCCAUGAGGACCGUCAUGGAGGUCUGCCUCGGCUGCCUGGCCAAGGAGCCAACGCAGAGGCCCUCAGUGGAGGACGUGCUCUGGAACCUGCAGUUUGCGGCCCAGGUGCAGGAUGGCUCACGACGCAGCAGCGAGGAGUCCCCGCUCUCGCCCUCGCAGCCCCAUGCACAAUCCGCACACGACUCACCGACCCACCGCUAG